UCUCCGUUGGUGAACCAGCGGAGGGAUCAUUACAGAGUCGUAAAACACUCCCAAACCCAUGUGAACUUACCAAUGUUGCCUCGGCGGACCUACCCUGUAGCCAGCUACCCUGUAACGGCCUACCCUGUAACGUCCUGCCGGUGGACUUUUAAACUCUUGUUAUUUAUAGUAAUCUGAGCGUCUUAUUUUAAUAAGUCAAAACUUUCAACAACGGAUCUCUUGGUUCUGGCAUCGAUGAAGAACGCAGC
rnacentral:misc_RNA from 1 species